rnacentral:rRNA from 1 species
CGUGUAGGCGGUCAUGUAAGUGGGAUGUGAAAGCCCCCGGCUUACCCGGGGAUCUGCACCCUAAACUGCAUGGCUUGAGUACGGGAGAGGAUAGGGGAAUUCCUGGUGUAGCGGUGAAAUGCGUAGAUAUCAGGAGGAACACCGGUGGCGAAGGCGCCUAUCUGGCCCGAUACUGACGCUGAGGCGCGAAAGCUAGGGGAGCAAACGGGAUUAGAUACCCCGGUAGUCCUAGCCGUAAACGGUGAUCACUAGGUGUUGGAGGCAUCGACCCCUCCAGUGCCGCAGCUAACGCAUUAAGUGAUCCGCCUGGGGAGUACGGCCGCAAGGUUGAA